rnacentral:rRNA from 1 species
GAUGAACGCUGGCGGCGUGCUCAACACAUGCAAGUCGAACGGUGAAGCAGGAGCUUGCUCUUGUGGAUCAGUGGCGAACGGGUGAGUAACACGUGAGCAACCUGCCCCUGACUCUGGGAUAAGCGCUGGAAACGGCGUCUAAUACUGGAUAUGUGAUGUGACCGCAUGGUCUGCAUCUGGAAAGAAUUUCGGUUGGGGAUGGGCUCGCGGCCUAUCAGCUUGUUGGUGAGGUAAUGGCUCACCAAGGCGUCGACGGGUAGCCGGCCUGGGAGGGGGACCGGCCACACGGGGACUGGGACACGGCCCAGGCUCCUACGGGAGGCAGCAGUGGGGAUGAUUGCACAAGGGGCGGAAGCCUGAUUCAGCAACGCCGCGUGAGGGAUGACGGCCUUCGGGUUGUAAACCUCUUUUAGCAGGGAAGAAGCGAAAGUGACGGUACCUGCAGAAAAAGCACCGGCUAACUACGUGCCAGCCGCCGCAGUAA